GUGACCUUUCAGGAAACAGUAUCAAAAAAGUUUCUAAAGAAACGUUUAUGAACUUUGUCUCACUAACUCGAGACCUUAGAAAGAACGAUAUCACUAAGGUCGAAGAUGGCGCUUUAGAAAAUCUUGGCAAUUUAAAAUUUUUGAUUUCUUCAAAAAAAAACAAUCUUGAGAGUGUCAUUAAAAAGCUGUUUAAAAGACUGAGUGGGUUAUA